rnacentral:misc_RNA from 1 species
UGCUUUGCAGCGAGUAUGCGG